rnacentral:rRNA from 1 species
UUAGUCAAUGGCCUAACGGCUGAACUGGCAACUUGGAGAAGUGGCAAGUCUUCCAGUAUGGGGAGCAAAACAGCUAUGGGUCAAGUCCGAUAUCUUUAGGAGAAGUCUUAUUGUGAGGGCGAGUUAUAUAACACCGUAGGACUGGCCGUCCCAUAUGAAAAGAUUAUAUUAGAAUUGAAUGAAGCUUUGUUUAUAUAUUGAUAAUGACAGUAUAUAUAUCGUGUCUUGACUAAUUGCGUGCCAGCAGUCGCGGUAAUACGUAAGAGACUAGUGUUAUUCAUCUUAAUUAGGUUUAAAGGGUACCCAGACGGUCAAUAUAGCUUAUAAAAUGUUAGUACUUGACUAGAGUUUUAUGUAAGAGGGCAGUACUUGAGGAGGAGAGAUGAAAUUUCGUGAUACCAAAGGGACUCUGUAAAGGCGAAGGCAGCCCUCUAUGUAAAAACUGACGUUGAAGGACGAAGGCACAGAGAACAAACAGGAUUAGAUACCCAAGUAGUCUUUGCAGUAAAUGAUGAAUGCCAUAGGUUAGAUUGGUCAAUUAUAGUCUAGGGUUAGUCUAGCAAACUAAUACCUAUACUAUUAUACCUAAUAUCUGGUCUAUAAAUGAAAGUGUAAGCAUUUCACCUCAAGAGUAAUGUGGCAACGCAGGAACUGAAAUCACUAG